UUACCCAUAGAUAUAGGAGAUCUAGAUUGCUGACGCAUACCUAGCGCAGGCGGGGCCUACAUGAUAAAUCCAAGAUGGCGGUACAAGAGGGCAGAAAGACUAUAGAUUCUAUUACGGAAAUCAGGAUUUUUUGCAGUUUUUGCCGUCGCAUUGUUUCGAAACUUAUUCGGUCAAGUUUUAUGGUAAAGAGAAACUUACCGCGAAGAUUUUGAGCAUAUAUAUGAUUGAAUUGGAUGAAAACUCGCAAAAUUAUCCAUCGAUAAAAGUUCGUGUGAAAUGGUCACUUGGUC